CCUACGGGAGGCAGCAGUGGGGAAUAUUGGACAAUGGGGGCAACCCUGAUCCAGCCAUGCCGCGUGUGUGAAGAAGGCCCUCGGGUUGUAAAGCACUUUCAGUGAGGAAGAACGCCUGGUGGUUAAUACCCAUCAGGAAAGACAUCACUCACAGAAGAAGCACCGGCUAACUCCGUGCCAGCAGCCGCGGUAAUACGGAGGGUGCGAGCGUUAAUCGGAAUUACUGGGCGUAAAGCGCGCGUAGGUGGCUUGAUAAGCCGGUUGUGAAAGCCCCGGGCUCAACCUGGGAACGGCAUCCGGAACUGUCAAGCUAGAGUGCAGGAGAGGAAGGUAGAAUUCCCGGUGUAGCGGUGAAAUGCGUAGAGAUCGGGAGGAAUACCAGUGGCGAAGGCGGCCUUCUGGACUGAAACUGACACUGAGGUGCGAAAGCGUGGGUAGCAAACAGGAUUAGAUACCCGAGUAGUC
rnacentral:rRNA from 1 species